UUGGGGCAGAGGAUGAAUAUUAGGAGUGUAAAUGGGUAAUUUGCAUCUGAAUUAUUUCAUUGAUGUUAUUAUCACCUUGGAGAACUGAUGCCUCUU